CCGCUUUCAUGGUGCUAUUCGUUUAUUCUAGAUGUAGAAAAUGUAGCCCAUUUCUUCCCACUUCGUACGCUACACCUCGACCUGACGUUUUUGGGUGAGCCCAUUUUGCUUACUGUUGGGCCUUCACAGGGUAAGCUGACGACGGCGGUAUAUAGGCGGGGUAAACAAGGAGUGGUGAGGUU
rnacentral:rRNA from 1 species